rnacentral:rRNA from 1 species
GACGCUGGCGGCAUGCCUAACACAUGCAAGUCGAACGAGACCUUCGGGUCUAGUGGCGCACGGGUGCGUAACGCGUGGGAACCUGCCUUUAGGUUCGGAAUAACUCAGAGAAAUUUGAGCUAAUACCGGAUAAUGUCUUCGGACCAAAGAUUUAUCGCCUUUAGAUGGGCCCGCGUUGGAUUAGCUAGUUGGUGGGGUAAAGGCCUACCAAGGCGACGAUCCAUAGCUGGUCUGAGAGGAUGAUCAGCCACACUGGGACUGAGACACGGCCCAGACUCCUACGGGAGGCAGCAGUGGGGAAUAUUGGACAAUGGGCGAAAGCCUGAUCCAGCAAUGCCGCGUGAGUGAUGAAGGCCUUAGGGUUGUAAAGCUCCUUUACCCGAGAUGAUAAUGACAGUAUCGGGAGAAUAAGCUCCGGCUAACUCCGUG